CAUUUUAAAUUGUGACAUGCACUGGGAAGAUAACCAUCAAGGGACUGAGAUGGAUGGAUCUUUUAGCAGGGUCUUAAAGGCUUACUUGGAGAGCUGACAUUAUCCUGAGAAAAAGAUAAGGAGUUUCUUUUUGAGAAAAAAAAAAAAAAAAAGAGGAGGAGAGGGAGAGACCAUCAGCAGGGAGAGCAAAGAACAUGUGCAUAGCCUCGAGGUGGGGAAGAGCUUGUGUGCUCCAGUGACUGAAUGAGAGGAGCCCAGUGGGUCUGGAGGACUGUGACUCAGGGAAAGAGGAGUCAAGAUUGGAAAGAAAUCAGGGGCGAGAUCAAGGAUGGCCCUAAAAGACAGAAUGGGAAAUUGUUUUACUCUGGAUGUGGCAGGAAGCUAAAGAGUUGUGCUUAGAGCUUAUUAAAUGAAUGAAGGCGAGUGACAUGAUACAAUUAAUAUCUUUUCAUUUGUGCUUCUUCAUUGAAAAUAGAUUGCAGAAGUGAGAAGAGAAACAGAGAGACCAGCUGGGAGCUGCUGCGGUAACCCAGGUGAGAGAGAUGGUGGCCUGGACCAAUGCUUGGCAUGGAGGUGGAGAGAAGUGAUAUAACUGAUUUAAGUCAAUCAGCUGCUUGAUCCAGAUAAUGCCAAGUGUGGAUACUGUGGUGGACCAUGGAGCUGCAGGAAGCCUGGAAGACAACAGAAAGAGGACAAGAGAACAAGGACUUUGGCGGCAGAGAUAUGGAGCACGUGGGCGGAUCCAAGCACGCUGGACGGAGGAGGACGCUGGCGGCAGAGAUAUGGAGCACAUGGGCAGGUCGAAGCACGGCUGGAUGGAAUCAAACCACUUUAGCUGACUUCACAGGGAGUAACUGUUGUAGUGACAAAGGUUGAAGGAAUAAAUUUAUUUGAUUUAUAAAAAUAAUUUUUAAAUUUAAUUUAUUAUAAAUAAACACUGCACUAUUGUUUUAC
rnacentral:lncRNA from 1 species